AUUGAACGCUGGCGGCAUGCUUUACACAUGCAAGUCGAACGGUAACAGGUUAAGCUGACGAGUGGCGAACGGAUGAGUAAUGCAUCGGAACGUGCCCGAUCGUGGGGGAUAACGCAGCGAAAGCUGCGCUAAUACCGCAUACGAUCUGAGGAUGAAAGCGGGGGACCGUCAGGCCUCGCGCGAGCGUAGCGGCCGAAGUCAGAUGAGGAAGUUGGUGGGGUAAAGGAUCACCAAGCCAACGAUCUGUAGCUGGUCUGAGAGGAAGACCAGCCACACUGGGACUGAGACACGGCCCAGACUCCUACGGGAGGCAGCAGUGGGGAAGUUUGGACAAUGGGCGAAAGCCUGAUCCAGCAAUGCCGCGUGCAGGAAGAAGGCCUUCGGGUUGUAAACUGCUUUUGUACGGAGCGAAAAGGCCCUCUCUAAUACAGGGGGUUUAUGACGGUACCGUAAGAAUAAGCACCGGCUAACUACGUGCCAGCAGCCGCAGUAA
rnacentral:rRNA from 1 species